rnacentral:rRNA from 1 species
GCGCACCAGGCGAGAAUAGUCUACAAUGGACGAAAGUCUGAUAGUGCGACGCCGUGUGUGCGAUUAAUUCCUUCGGGAUGUAAAGCACUUUUCUAUGAGAUAAAAGCUCUUUAGGUUAAUAGCUUAUUGAGACGGAUAUUAUUAUAGGAAUAAGCUCCGGCUAACUCCGUGCCAGCCAGCCGCGGUAAUACGGAAGGAGCGAGCGUUGUACCGGAUUUUACUAGGCGUUAAAGGGCUAGUAGGCGACUAAUUAAGUUAUAUGUUAAAUCCCACGGCUCAACUGUGGUCCUGCAUGUAAUACUGGUUAGAUAGAGUACUGUAGAGGAAGGCAGAAUUCCUGGAGUAGCGGU